CGAAGGAUGAUUAGAAUUGCUGCUACUGGAAUUGUCAGAGGACGUGGAAGGAUAAUUUACAUUGCUAGAACUGGAAUCUUGAGAUGAUGUUGCUGCUUGCUCAGAAUUUGGAGUUGCUGAAGGAGAUGAGUUGCAGGUACCACUUGUUGCGAACUUGAUGUGGCAGAUGAAUCUGAAUUCACUGUGCCAUUUGCUGAAGAUGUAGAUUGCUGAAGACAAUAUAAUUUAAUUAAAUAAGGCUAAUACUACAAUACAAAGAUUAUGUUGUGGCUUACAAUGUUAAAUCGAACUACUUUAUUUGCAGCAGGAGACGAUGAUGAAGUAGUUGCGGCUUCUGCAGAAGAUCCAUCAGUCGAUGUUGAAGGAUAAGUAUCACCCUAAAAUGACAAAUUAACUUCAUCAGCUAACAACUAGAUAGACAAUCAAAUUAAGCUUUAGGACAAAAAUAAGAGCCUAUUUAAAUCAAGACUGUAAUUUAGAUUUAUAGCUGAUGUUAACACACAUUUUUCUUGGUUUUCUUCCUCUUUCGAGGAGUUGCAGAUGGAACAGUCACUGCUCGGGAGGACUCAGCACUGGAGGUUGAAGGCUGAUUACUAUCAGUCACAUUGGCGACAUCAGUUUCCGGAAGAGGAGAUGGAGAAGUUGAUGUUCCAGAUGGGUUUUGUUGAACUGAUUCCUGACAGACAAGGUAAUACACAUUUGAAAAUAAAAGAAGUACUAAUAAUGAAACUGAAAUGUCUGCUUUACAAAUUUAAAGAAAAAGAGAUGGAUAAUGAGCUGGAGAACAUGAUACCCCAGAUAGGCUAUGCUAAACUAAUUCAUUAGGACCAAAGUAAAACAACAUUUAAAAAAUAUCUGUUUUGCCACUUUAAGAAGUAUAAAUUUCAACUCACAGUUAA